CACAGGGGUGCAAGCGUUAAUCGGAAUUACUGGGCGUAAAGCGCACGCAGGCGGUUGGUUAAGUCAGAUGUGAAAGCCCCGGGCUCAACCUGGGAAUUGCAUUUGAAACUGGCCAACUAGAGUAUGUGAGAGGGGGUAGAAUUCCAAGUGUAGCGGUGAAAUGCGUAGAGAUUUGGAGGAAUACCAGUGGCGAAGGCGGCCCCCUGGCACAAUACUGACGCUCAGGUGCGAAAGCGUGGGGAGCAAACAGG
rnacentral:rRNA from 1 species